GUGGGGAAUUUUGGACAAUGGGCGAAAGCCUGAUCCAGCAAUGCCGCGUGCAGGAUGAAGGCCCUCGGGUUGUAAACUGCUUUUGUACGGAACGAAAAGCCUGGGGCUAAUAUCCCCGGGUCAUGACGGUACCGUAAGAAUAAGCACCGGCUAACUACGUGCCAGCAGCCGCGGUAAUACGUAGGGUGCAAGCGUUAAUCGGAAUUACUGGGCGUAAAGCGUGCGCAGGCGGUUUUGUAAGACAGUGGUGAAAUCCCCGGGCUCAACCUGGGAACUGCCAUUGUGACUGCAAAGCUAGAGUGCGGCAGAGGGGGAUGGAAUUCCGCGUGUAGCAGUGAAAUGCGUAGAUAUGCGGAGGAACACCGAUGGCGAAGGCAAUCCCCUGGGCCUGCACUGACGCUCAUGCACGAAAGCGUGGGGAGCAAACAGGAUUAGAUACCCGAGUAGUCC
rnacentral:rRNA from 1 species